UGUGACGAUGGUGUGUGAGUUAUGGGGAGUAGUAAUAGUAGCAGUGGACAGACACUGUGCAGACAGAGGGGAAGAAGAAUUUUUUUACGUUCUUCACGUUCUCUUCAAAUCGAUCAACAUAUUGGUUUUCACAUAGCAGAUCUGGAUAAAAAGAAGCCCUGAAGCAGCGGAAUGGUAACGACGGUGACAUAACCAUGUGGAAGAAGUAACGGUGGCGGCAGCAAAAUGAUGAGGCAAAAAAUGGCGGUGGCGGAACGACGAUGAAGGCGGUGGCUGAACGAUGGUGACGAUAAUAGCUUCUGAUGUGUUUUAUUGUAAAGUUAAUUUAGUUGUCAUGUCUCUUUGGUUAUCUCUCUUUAUUUUUAGCUGGGUUUUUUAAUUGAUUAGUUUGAUUCUUGAAUUAUUGCAAGAACUGUGUGUUUAUGAGAUCAAUGAAGGGGAUCGUGGACUUUUGAA